CCACACUCUUCUCAUUGCUUUACUCUCUCUUUCUCUCUUUAAGAAGGCGAUGAGGAUUGUUGAAUUUCUUCAUCUAAAUGCAAGACAAUGGUGAAGAUGACAGUGGAAAAUGAGGAGAGACAUUGCUAUGCUUCUUGAAUCUCAUCCUGAUGUAUUCGGCUUACUAUAUUGACACAAAUCAAGGCUGCUGAAUUCCUGUCCAGUUUGGGCAUUCUGUUUUUAUUAUAAAAAAAAAAGAAACAGAUUUUACUCAGUCCUUUCCUCAUUCACCUCUGCUCGGUUCGUCGGAGUUUUCGGAAUCCCAUUUCAGUGGUGGAAGCUCUUCCUCGCUGCUCUGCUCGUCCAAUUUCAGCUUGCUGCCUUCGAAAGGGUAAGACUUGCAAACAGUUUUAUGAAGUGCAGCUCUCCUCUUCGAUUCACUGUCUCAUGAUAGAUUAGAGAAAAGAGUCUUGUUUGUCUGAGGUUGUUGUGUAGAAUUCAGAAGUCCAAGAAUUCGACGAAUCCGUACGUUGA